UGUAAAACGGUCUUCUCUUGCGUUUAUUACGUGAUAUGUUUAGUUUUAUGCUUGAUUUGUAAAUCGCAGAACUAGUUUCGUCAAAACGCAAAGAAAAACUUGUGUUUUGACGCAGAAAUCAUCUCUAUCUGCUAGUGUAGACUGUCCCAUGUUGGAUAUCAAAUUGCGUGUGAAAUAUUUUAAAACUGUGAAGUAAUCAAUAUUCUAGAAUCUACCAUUUUUAGCAAGGCGCCAAGGCUUCGGCUACAAAGGCUGUAUAAUGUAUGUGCAUGGGCUUUAUAAUUCAAACUAUAUUAUAUUCUAGCCAUUAUAUUACGCGGCAACGAGUCACUUUAUAGUGAGCUACACCCUCCCUACGUCGACGUCAUGAGAUAAACCUCCGCGGUAGAUUGUUUAGAAGUCGAUUAUCGGAAAUUAAAAACAGUCUUUCUUGAAUUUAAUGCGCAUAUGUUUAGCUAUUCGCUUGAUUUGUAAAUCACAGACCUGAGUUCGCCAAAGCAUAAAGAAAAUCGUUUUG